rfam:Brachypodium distachyon strain Bd21 chromosome 1, whole genome shotgun sequence.
AAAGUAAUUCCUCCGUCCAAUAAAGAUGUCUCAACUUUGACUAAAUUUGAAUGCAUCUAUAUACUAAGUCAAGUUUAGAUACAUCCAAUUUUUGAUAAAUUUGAGACAUCUUUUGUUGGACGGAGAGAAUACUCC